CAUUAGAGGGUAGACCCGCCAGAUCUAAUUAGAUCAUAGAUUAAUGACAAACGCCAUGUCGUAGCUCACGGAGAUUUAUUUAGGUAGCUCGUGAAAGCAGUGACAGAGUCCCACCGCGUGACGUUGGCGUCCGUGUCGCUCAACGGUUUCCUUUCCUCCCCCACACAUUAUUAUCUGUUAAUUGCAUUCGGAAAAAAAAAAUUGACAAUAAUUGACUUUCUAAAUUCUUCUUUACUAAGCAAUCUCAGAUUGUUUUCCCUAGAUUGUAUAGAUCUUUCAUCCCACUUUCCAGGAAAAAAAAAGCUGCGAAUUUUCCUCGAAAACAUUUCUCCAUUUUCCGUCAUAUAAACACAACUUUCUCAAUUUCGUUUAAGCAAGAAAGGGGGAGAAAUGGGGCAACAACAAUCCAAAGAUGAGUUGCUGUUUCAGCAAGUUAAUUACGGUAACACAGAAGGAAUUAAAGCUCUUUGCAGGGAAGGCGCAGGCCUCGAGUGGCUUGACAGAGAUGGUAAAACGCCAUUGAUAUUAGCGUGCCUGAAUCCUGAGCUGUACCAUGUGGCUAAAACUUUGAUAGAGCUCGGUGCUAAUGUUAAUGCUUACCGUCCUGGUCGUAAUGGAGGAACUCCUUUACAUCAUGCGGCAAAAAGGGGCCUUGACAGAACUGUCAACUUACUUCUUUCUCAUGGAGCGAAUGCUCUAGUACUGAAUGAUGAUUGUCAAACUCCUCUUGAAGUUGCUAGGGCUAAAGGACACAACAAUGUUGUCCGUGCAAUUGAGAAUCAUAUUUGCUUAUUCUCUGGUUGGAUGCGGGAAUUCUAUGGGCCAGGAUUUCUAGAAGUCCUUGCUCCUCAAUUAGUUUCCAGAAAAGUAUGGGUUGUCAUUUUACCAAUUGGUUCCCGUAACCCUACAAAGCCUUUCAAGUUGGAGCUUGCCAUAUAUAAUAAUUCACAGGAUGCCCAACCACGAACUCUGAUCGCAUUGUGGAAAGCUAAUUUGGAGGAACCAAAACUGCAUCAUUGUGAUACUUCUGUGAUGAUUGUCGACAAUGCCACCAUCCCAAGAGGCAGGAGGCGGAGACAAGCGAGGCAUAGGCCUCGAACAGUUAGGCAGACACGCGUUAGACUUGCACCUGCAAAUGAGGGUGAUAAGCAGCAGCUUCAGUGGUUCUGUGAUGCAUGCAAAGGAAUUCCACAGGCAAUGCAUCCUCCUGCUUUUCUGCAUAAUCCUGUGUCUUCAACAGUUCAAGCGACAGCUCCUCCAUCUGCAGAAGAGUUAGAAUUAGCAAUGGCACUCAAUGCCUCUAUCCAGUCUGCCAUGGCAGAGGCACCAAUUAUUGAUGCUCACUCUGGUGGAGCAAGUGCUUCCACCAGUUGGAAUGAGCCCGUGAAUGCUGGCAGUCAAAGUGUUCUUCCUUCAAAAGCAACUGGUAGUAUGUGGGCUGCACAUGAAGCUGGCCCUAGUGGCAAUCCAACUCAGCACCAGAUCCAGAACAGCGACAUCUCUACUGUGCAGACAGCAACUCAAGCCCCUGAUUCAGUCCCAUCAGCUCCAUCCAUCAUAGAUGAGAUUGUAGAAGAUGGUCCAAUUCAUUAUCCAUCGAUUGAUUCUAGUCCUAUUGAUAUGUGUUCCCCUCCUGUGGAUAACUUAGCAGCUAGCACAGGCGAAAAGAAAGAGAAUGGUGGUUCUUCAUCCUGCACUAUAUGUUUGGAUGCUCCAGUUGAGGGGGCGUGCAUCCCAUGUGGCCAUAUGGUUGGUUGUAUGUCUUGUUUAAAGGAGAUCAAAGCAAAGAAAUGGGGUUGCCCUGUGUGCCGUGCCAAUAUCGACCAGGUUAUAAGGCUGUAUGCUGUUUGAAAGUUCAAGCAGAAUGAGAAAGGUGCAAACGGUAAUUACGAUUCAAGCAUUUCAUAGAGAUUUGUUUCUACCUUUGUUUCCACCUUCUUACUCACAACUUACCUAUACAUGAGUUAAAUUCCCCUCCAAAUAUUUUUAUGCUUUCCUUCGACUUUUAUAUGAUAUUGGUACCUUACAUACUUUUUAAUUUUUAUCAAUUUCAAAAAGGAAAAGACCUUUUUCAUCCCUACAUUUUUGUGAAAAUUUUAUUUUCUUUUUUAGCAUUCAUCUUCAGGCACAAAGAUAAAGUUUUAUUUCUGCCCCUGCAUAUUCCUCCUGGUAGGAUCAAGUGCUUGCUUUUAAUGUAUAUUUUGCCGGCAUAACAUUGUUGACCAACUUAUUUGGAAGUUGGAAAUUUUUUUUCUGAUUCUCUGAAUGAUAUAAAAAUUAUAUCAAAACCGGAAGAAGCUAUAGGCUUUAUACCAAUAAUAAGUUGCAUGAUCAGAGACUGUAAGGAGGUCAAUGAUACCUUAGAAACCACAAAGUAACGGUAUAAGAAAGUAAAUUUAAGAGAGCAAGGAGAUGCUAACUGCCAGAUAUUAUCUGCAGCUGCAGGUGAGUUUGAUCACACUGAAGAAUCAAUAACUUCAGCAGCACAAGAUCUGUCCAUGAGCGGUGCAAAA